ensembl:lncRNA
AGCUGCCUUCUCUGCCCUCAAGAAAUGCCUGAGACUUGAUGGCUGAGUGCUGAUAAGGGGGGCUGAGGAGGCUCUGCUCACCUGCCUCCUCACACAAUGGAACCUGCAGUUUCUGCUCUGAGUCACUCAGGGAGGCACCCGCUCUCCUUGUGUUUUGUUGACCUCUCCCUCACAUGCAUUAAAAGCAGCAGGAGCCAAAAUAUAUAGCCGCCAGGCAGCUGGGAGAACUCAGCCGGGCUGUGGGAACAAGGCAGAAUCACCUCAUCCUCUGCCAGAGCGACCAAUCCUCUGUGAGGCUCAUCGUUCCUGUGUAUCGGAUCCCAUCAAGUCACCGCCUCAUGUGUGCAUCCUCACGGCAGAUGAGGGCUCCCCGAGGAUCACCACAAUAGCCCGAUGGCGGAAGCAAGUCCAAUCUUCUCAUCAUGUGACAUUUGACCCAUGAGGGUACAGAGGCUCAGCAAGCAAGGGCUAUUACAAUAGGAAAAGCUAAGUGGAAGCCAGUGGAAUCACUUCUACUUAUAAAAGAUUAAAUUACAGAAAUACCUAUUUCUGGAGGCAUUGCAGAAAUUAGUGCCCCCAUCGUGGACUUGAAAGAUGCAGAGACGGUGAAUCUCACCAUAUCCCCAUUCAGCUUGCUUAUUUGGCCUGAUAAGUGGAUCUUGGAGAAUCACAGUGGAUUAUUAUAAACUUAAUUGGUGACAACUCCAAUUAAAGUUCCUUUUCCACAUGUGGUUUGGUUGCUGAAGAAAAUCAACAUAACCUCUGGCAGCUAUUGGUCCAGCAAAUGCUUUCUUUCUCUAUACCUCUUAAAAAAAGACCACCAGGACCAGUUUGCUUUCAGCUAGCAGGACUGGCAAUAGGCCUUCACUGUCCUGCCUAAGGGCUAUAUUAACCCCCAAAUCUACUGUCAUAAUCGAAUCCAGAGACCUUGACAGCCUUUCCACUCCACGGGAUCUUCUACAGACCUACUGUGCCGAUGAUAUCAUGCUCAUUGUUUCUGGUGAGCAGGAAAUAACAGCUAUUCUGAAGACCUUGGUAAGAAAAAUGCAAGCAGAUGGAGGAAAAGGAAUCUUACAAAAGAUCAGGGACCAGCUAUUUUGGUGAAAUUUCUGAGUCCGGUGAUCAGGGCAUGUUGAGAUAUUCUAUCCAAAGUGAAGGAGAAAUUGCAGCAUCUGGUCUCUCUUACCACUGGGGAAAUGGCAGAAUGCCCAGCACACCUCUGGAUUUUGGAGGCAACGGUACUUCAUUUGAGCAUGCUACCUCAUCUCACUCACUGAGUAACCCGAAGGCUGCCACUUUUGAGUGGGGUCCGGAAAAAGAGAAGACAUUGCAACAGAUCCAGCCUGUCAAUCAAGCUGCUCUGACACCUGAAUGGAACGUAUGAUUCAACACAUCCAUUUGUGCCAGAAAUGUCUGUGUGUGGCAGAUAAGGAAGGCAUAUGGAAACUUCAGCAGGUCCCAAUAGCUCCUGACUUUCCACUGGGCCUGUGAGUCCACAAGGCCCGGGGUUGGGCUGCAGUCUCCAGAGACCUGCGACUAGAGCUUUGUUACUGGAUAGACCGCUCAGCCCUGGAUCUCCUCUGCUCGGCAGACAUCCUCUCCCAGGAGCCCCUCGGCUCCCUGCUGUUACCCUUCACCCAGGCCCGAAGAGCAGCUCCUUCAAGAAGCUCACAGACUCCUGAGAAGACACAGAGAUUGUCUGCUCGGCUGAAGUCGAAAUAAAACAACUAAACAGACCAGGGCAGCAACGGAGAGAACAAUUUUCUCUGGAGCUGUGGUCCUCAUGGUGUAGUCACUGAAAAGCACCAUGAGUGUCAGCUGGGAACUUCUUGGAAAUACAAAUCCUGGACCCCGCCUCGGCUGUUGAAUCAGAAAGCCCGGGGGUGGAGCCCGGCGAUCUGUGUUUCGACAAGCCCUCCUCGCUCUGAAGUGUGGGAACUUGGGACGGUGGUGAUGGGUGGGGGCAGAGGGAGUGUGGCAACCUCUUGGAAGAAUCCAGGAAGAGCGUCCCCUGGGGCCCGUGGAGGAGCGCAGCCAGACGCGGGAAGGAGGGCAUGCCCGCCCAGCACAGGACCCGCUCUGCAUCCCGCAACCACUCCCAGCUCGGCGUACCUUCUGAUGUAGCUUUAAGAGUCUCGGAGUCAUCACUUUGUUGAUGUUGUGUUGUCUAGAGUAAACAGCGAAGAAUUCUUUAGAGUCAAAUAAGAUUGCUUUGUGUUUUAAAAAAAGAUCUCUUGGUUGAACUCCAUUUUGUGUUCUACCUUUAAGUAAGGAGUAUCUUUAGACUAAUUUCUGAAAGUUACAAAAUUCACCUAAUGAACUCGUCCGACCUCUUUUCUUUGACUCCUUUAAAGAAAGCAUAUAGCUUUUAACACAAAAGUUCUUCUCAAAGUGUUUUGUUUUGGGGGCAAAUUUAUGCUCAGAGAUUUGAGUUUGUCUUUGUCAAUAUUUUAUUUAACGUGGGUUCACUAUGGGAGUUAUAACAACUUCACAAGCCAAGAGCAUACAGAAUAAGUCUCUUAAUAAGCCAAUAAAAAGAUAAUGUACUCCAAACCAAUGAUAAAGCAAUCACACUAUUGUUCCAGGCAAGAGGAGAUAAAAGGAAUAAAGUCCACAUUUAAUUGAGGUGUACAGUUUUAUGCGUCGGCUAAACCAACCAAGAGCUCACUUCCAGCUGCCAGUGCAAAAUAAAAGUUUCUCGCUGUGGCCCGUUGCUAGUGAAUGCAGGUGCCGGUGUUGGCCCACAAGUUGCUCUCCUGCAUGGGGCCGCUGUGCCGUUUGUCACCCCUACUGAUAAGGGAGGCACCCUGACCUCAGUAGGAGCUAAUGCCCCAAGGUCUUCGGCGAGUUUAUGUAGGUCAGCAAAGCUUGCCUUGCCCAGACCAAAACUCCCGGGUGUUCCUCUCAAACCCGGGUAUUUGGAGUCUAAAUGUCCCCUUGCCACGUGGUUGCUACUCCACAUGUUUUUACUAAUAGGUUCCCCAGCAGUGCCCCUCAUAAGCUGAGUGAUGGAGUGCUUAUCAAUGACAACAGAUAAGAUGAUAAAUCCCAACACAACUUUCUUCAUUCUUAUAUCAAAACAACAAUAGUUGUCUUUGUCCUAAACAAGUAGCUUAAAACAAUUUCGCUUAAGUCAUAAACAAGUGGACUUGAAAUCAUAUCAGACCAAUACACAACACAAAGAAAUUAAAGAUGGAUAGCUUAGACAUUGCUUAUGUAAUAAUUCUCUUCUCUUGGACAUUUAUUUUGUCUUUCAACUUUAUUUCCCCUGCAAUUCAUGUACCCGCCAUCUUGUCUCCAACCUCCCCACAGACUUCCUGGCUUUGAACGAGGAAGCCAGGUCACCAACCUGUUACAAUCGUACAGAGUUAAGGGUGAAGCUCUAAGCAGGAGACUUUCUCCCUUAAGUGUCAUGCAUGGAUGCUACUUUGCAAUUUCAUGGUUUAGUGAAAAAAGAGCAGUUUCCAAUCAGACAAAUUAAGGUUCAAUCUUAGCUCUACCUCUCACGAGCUGGUCAUUAAACCAUAAGUCUGCGUUUCCUCACUUCCUUGGCUCUAACACGGGGCUAAGGACGUACUGUGGGGGUAAAUAAAAUAAUCAUGUGUAAAGUAGCCGGCAUGUAAUAAACAGUGAUUGUUAUUGCUACCUUCCUGUCCUUCUUUCAGGAUAACAGUAAAAUGUGCAGAGCUCAGACUCAGAAGCAGAUUAGCCUGAAUCCAGU